UUUUUAUUUUUAUUUUUUUUUAGUGACUGUAUUUUUAAAGUAUCCUUUAUUUUUUUCUCUCUCCUCUUGUUUUACUCUUACUUUGAAAAUGGAAUCUAUGAAAAUUCAGAACAUUACGUAUUAAUUCUUCCUCUUCCAUCUUCCAUUUUCUUUUCUGUUCCCUCACUCCUUCUCUUCCUCUCCUCCCUCCUUCCCCCUCUCCUUUCUUAUCUCUUCCUUUCUCUUUCUCUAUCUUUCUCUCUUUCUUUCAUCCAACCCUUAGAAGAGUUUUAUUCCUGGCUGUGAUAGUAGAUACCUGAAAUGUCAAAGACUUGGCUAUGAUUCAAUAAAAUAUUUCUUCAAUCCUUGUCGCCCUUUUACAUUUUUCUUACUUCACUGAGGGCUUUAUCCCAUUUAAAGAUUUUUAAGGGCUACAGAUACUACAGAUACAGAUGCAAAGAAGAGAUGCCUCAAGGUUGUUAAAAUAAUUUACACAUCUUACCAGGACUUUUUUAUUAUUAUUAUUAUUUGAUUAAUUGAAUCAAGGUGACUUCUUCCCUAGGGCUAAAAUAACUUGAUCACUUGAAGCCCUUUAACUAUAAGACUCAAUUGAAGUUGGUAUUCAACUCAAUUGAAGCAGAGCUAUUUAUUAUCCAAAACUUAAUGAGUUCAGUCUGCAUACCAUAAUCUACCACAGCGCUUCAUCAAUCAUCAAUCCAAAUUGAUAAAACCACUGCUAGGCAAGUCACUCAAAGCAGUUAAUAUCAACCAAAUACUUAAGAAAAAACUUUUUUUUUUCCAACAGCUGGGCUAUAUCAUAAAAAAAAAAAAAAUCUUAUCCCUGGGUAUGGAAAUGAGAAUGUCUAAGAUAUAAGUCCUCCAAUGAAAGUCACAGAAACCAAACCAGCACUCAAAUUAAUGAAUAUGUUAUACUGAAUAAAUUUAUGACUGCCAAGUCAUGUGAUUAUUCUGUUAUCAUUCCAAGUUAUCAACAAUACAGAAAAUUAUACAUUUUAACCAAGAAAAGCAAUUAUUUUCAAAGUAUGCCCUUUUAGGUGUAAAAAUUUUAUAUAAACAUCCUCAGGAGCACCUGGGUGGCUCAGUAAUUGAGCGUUUGCCUUUGACUCAGAUCUUGAUCCUAAGGUCCUGAGAUCAACUUUGACAUAAGGUUCAUUACAGGGAGCUUGCUUCUCCCUCUAUGUCUCUGCCUCUCUCUCUGUGUCUUUCAUGAAUAAAUAAAUAAAAUCUUUAAAAAAAGGAUCUUACCUGAGUUUGGAAGGAAUAAAAAUCAAUAGAGCAGACAUAUAUUUAAGACAUAUGUGCCUAUAUGCACAAUUGAUAUGCACAUAUAUACUCAUACAUACCUCCAUGUCUAGUCCCAUAUACCUUGCUUAUUUUCUUGUAUGACUUAAGGCAUCUGAUCAUAAUUGUAAAGGUAAAAUAAGACCCAAAUAGGUAGUUUGAUAAGUAUAAUUAAUGUACACCAUAUAAACAUUUAUUUGUUAAAGAAAAAAAAAACUAUCCUUGUAGUUCUUACUCUACUACCAUCCAUUAUCCAUACAAAAAUAGAGACUCAGUGGUGUAAACUAGUGCCAGAAUAUGCAAAAAUAUCUCAGUAGAAAUAAUCUUGGGAUUUUUUUUCAAGAAAUCAAGCACUAGUUCUUUAAUUUAAAUUAGAUAUAAGGCCUAUAAUUAUUUAGUUGUUGAUUAUGGUUCACCUUUGAAAAGAUCAGGAGGAUCCCAGAUUAUAUUCCACCAAUGAGAGGCUUUAGCAAACACUUUGGAGGGGAGAAUAGAAGCAAAUGUCCCGCUCACCUAUGUAGAUAUGACAACAAGUGCAUGGGCCAUGGCACCUGGUAGAAAUGGUUUUCCCAGGUACAUGUGGACAUCCUUAAUCAAAAUGCUUCCAUUGAUACUACAGGAAUCUGAGAAAAUUGAUGGCUAUUUCUUAAGGUAAAUGCAAAUUUGUGACCUUCACAAAUCGAUAGAUUCCAUUGAUUUUUGCUUCCUCUGCCUUUUUUUAAAAUAUCUUUUUUUAAAGAUUUUAAUUUAUUUAUUCAUGAGACAAACAGAGAGAGAGAGAGAGAAAGAGAGAGGCAGAGGGAAAAGCAGGCUCCUUGCAGGGAGCCUGAUGUGGGAUUCGAUCCUGGUCUCCAGGAUCACACCCUGGGCCAAAGGCAGGCGUGAAACCACUGAGCCACCCAGGGAUCCCCUCUAGCUUACUUUUAUAAUUAAAUUUUAUGAUCAGGUGUUGAUGUAUUAUUUAAAGAUAAACAUUACAUUAUUAAUGAAAAAUUUUUCUUUGUGGUGUUUAAAACAAAGAAUAGCAUGCUCUUAUUCUCUGUACAUAUGUACCCCAAUGAAAACCAGUCAAGAAAAGAAUAAGUCAAGUUUGAAGUGUAAAUAGUUUAAUUAUUUUAUUCCUAAGAAAAAUUAAAAUGAUUUGCAUUUGCACUGUUUGAUUAGUAAAGAAAGUUCUGCAAUUGUCCCUUGAAAAUUUAACAAAAUAAGAAGAAUAGUUAAAAUGAGUUCAUAUUAAUGAAAGAUCAAUAAGUAAUAUAACUGAAGAUGAUCAGUUCCAUAUUUUAUGAAUCUGGAAACUGAAGAAGAUUUUAACAAGAAGAUAACUUUAGUUAUCCAAAAACAUUUAGAAUGUUGACUACUGAAAUGAGUGCUAAAAAUAGAAGCUUUGUUCAUCUGACUUUAUAAAAUUUGAGAGGAAGUUGGUCGGUGACAAAUAUACAUGUUAAAACAUGUUUUUGCUUUUACAAUUGGUUGGAAAUUUCCCUUUUAUUUAUCCAAAUAUUUAUUAAGCAUUAAUUGAAUGCCAGAUGAGUUUUUAGGUGCAGAUGAUGCACAAUAAGCAAAACAUAAUAACGUCUCUAUUCUUGUUGGUUUGUGUUCAAAAGAGAAAGAGGAUAAUUUAGUUACAUGAUACAUCACAAUAUGAUAAAAGAUGUGAAUGAAUGAAUGAGAACAUAUAAUGUUUGUCCUUCUCCGAUUGACUUACUUCACUCAGCAUAAUACCCUCCAGUUCCAUCCACGUUGAAGCAAAUGGUGGGUAUUUGUCAUUUCUAAUGGCUGAGGAAUAUUCCAUCGUUUACAUAGACCACAGCUUCUUUAUCCAUUCAUCUUUCAACGGACACCGAGGCUCCAAAGGAGAAGAAAUAAAUGUGUGGGAAAUAUCAGAAAGUGAGACAGAACAUAAAGACUCCUAACUCUGGGAAAUGAACUAGGGGUGAUGGAAGGGGAGGAGGGCGGGGGGUGGGGGUGAAUGGGUGACAGGCACUGAGGGGGGCACUUGAUGGGAUGAGCACUGGGUGUUAUUCUGUAUGUUGGUAAAUUGAACACCAAUAAAAAAUAAAUUUAUUAAAAAAAAAGAUGUGAAGGAAAAUAAAUUUAGAAAGAGGAAUUAGUAUUGCUACAUACAAUAAGUUAGAGAAGUCUUCAAAACAAAGACAACAUUUGCUCAAAGAUAUUCGUAGUUGACGAGGAAUAAGCUAUGAGAAGACCCAGUUUACAUAUCUAUUAAACAGUAAGUUCUGCCAUAACUAAAGCCUGUCGACAGGAUUAUCCCUAGAAUAUUCAGUAAACAGCAAAAAAGCCAAUUUGACUGGAGCUGGAGAGGGAGAAGCAUAGGAGAUGAUGUAAAGAGGUUUUUACGGACAUUCUCUGUUUGAUUUCUAAUUAUUAGAGUAUCCUAUGCCUUUUAUCCUCUUACUUGCAUUCCCUAAGUGAUUUCAUCCAAUAUAUUGCCCUUAAACUACAUCAUGUAUAUGCCAACAAAUCGAAAUGUAUACCUCUAAUCUAUCUAAGAUAUCUUCUAAUAAUAAGAAAAGUAACAAACAUAUGACAUAAGAAGUCAUUUUUGGUUUCUUUCUUCUUGCUGAAUUGACCUAGAAACAAUGACAUAAAAAUCUCUUGCAUCCUGACUUUGGUUUCAAAAUACCAUUCCACCAAAUGGAAUCAAGCACUUUGGAAAAAUGGAUACUUCUAGGGAUAGAAUAAGAAAAAAAUUUUAAAUGAAAGUAAUUAUAAUGUUUUAUGCCAUAAAAUAAGGAAAUACUGAAAAAUGAUGGCACCAUUAAAAAAAAAAAA
rnacentral:lncRNA from 1 species